AGCGUAUAUUAAAGUUGUUGCAGUUAAAAAGCUCGUAGUUGAAUUUCGGGGUCAGUAGGUUGGUCGUGCCACCGGUACGUACUGGUCUCACUGAUUCCUCCUUCCUGAUGAGCUGUAAUGCCAUUAAUUUGGUGUUGCAGGGAAUCUGGACUGUUACUUUGAAAAAAUUAGAGUGUUUAAAGCAGGCUAACGCUUGAAUACAUUAGCAUGGAAUAAUGAAAUAGGACGUUCGAUCCUAUUUUGUCGGUUUCUAGGAUUGACGUAAUGAUUAAUAGGGAUAGUUGGGGGCAUUAGUAUUCAAUUGUCAGAGGUGAAAUUCAUGGAUUUAUUGAAGACUAACUACUGCGAAAGCAUUUGCCAAGGAUGUUUUCAUUAAUCAAGAACGAAAGUUAGGGGAUCGAAGACGAUCAGAUACCGUCGUAGUCUUAACCAUAAACUAUGCCGACUAGGGAUCGGAUGAUGUUAAUUUUUUAAUGACUCAUUC
rnacentral:rRNA from 1 species